rnacentral:lncRNA from 1 species
CUAUAUAUUUCUUUACCAAGAAGGCCAAAACCUGGAAAACACCGAGAAAGAGCUCCCCUAGGAAGUAAAAAGCCAGCCCGAGGCUCAGGCCGGCUCCGCGAGCCCCACUCCAAGGAGGGGCCACUCUCGACGCCCCGCACGCCCCGCCCCGCUCUGGGCCCGCUCGGUCCCCUUGGGCGACAAAACCCUCCCUCCGGCGCUCUGCCAGGACUGACAGUUACGGCAGCAGCAGGCGCUGCUACCAGAGGCCUACUUCUGGCACCGGCCCCUCCAGACCACGCGCCCCAAACACUAGCCCCGACGGGGGUGGGGGUGUCCCUACCCUAGCCGAGCCAGCCCCGAAGGGUGGCCUGAGCAACAGAGGAGACUAAAGAAGGCGCCGCUCGGCCUCCCCGCCCAGGCCCCGUCCUCGGCCGCACUGACCUGUGGUCGCCCCCGCGCCUGGGCUGCGGCCCUCGCAGCAGCGGCCGCCUCACUGGUCGUCGUCGUCCUCGCCUGCCGCCUCCGCCCGCCACCGCCUCGUUCCCUGUCGCUGCCGCCACCGCCCGGGCUCAUGCGGGACCCGCGCUUCCUUCUCCGGAGACCAAGGCCGGGAAAGAGGGCGUCGGGGCCGCUGAAAACCCCGCGCUCUCGCCAGCUGCCGCCGCGCCGCUGCCUAUCCACACUGGGGACUCCGGGGCCAGCCUGGCCGGGGGAGGCUACGAGCCGCUCCGAGCACAACCCCGAGGAGGAGCCGAGGGAGGCGCGCCGCCCGCGCCGUGAGCGCCGGGUCGGCAGAGGAGGGCGGUCUGUCGUGGUUUUGGCGAAGGGGAUUCAGACUCUGUCGUCUCCUGCAGUCACCCCGAGCCCAGCACCACCAUCUUGGGAAAAACGCGGAUCUCGCGGCCGCAGCGCAAGCCGGGAGGACUGGCUGGGCGGGCCGAGUAUCCCAGCAGGCAGCGCGCGUCGCCCGGCCAGGCUAGGGCUCCAGGCCAGGACGCAGGGACGCGGGGAGGUGCCGGGGCGCGCGCGGGAUGGCGCAGAGCUCUGCCCCGCCCUCCUUCGCCGGCUCCGCCCCCCUCCUGCUUGCCGUCGUCGCCAGCGCAGGGGCCGUUGGGAAGGGGAAGUGGCUCGCCGUUCCUCGGAAUCUCCUCAGGCUCGGUCGCCAUUUUGA